GCUUGUGAGAUUCGGGCGGCCUACGGACGCCACAAGUGUCCCUGGCCGCCUACACCCACUAUACAUCCACAAACCCGUGUGCACUGUCCUUGGAAUGGGCAUUUGGAGAGAAGAAGGAAGAGAGUGUGUAUUGUGCGCUCCGUCUCGUUUUGCGUUUAUCUCUCGGGUGUGCUCUCUGAGACCCCUUCCCCGCGACAAACACGAAAGUGGACUAUGAAAGUGGAACAUGUGUGGACCGUGUCUGGGCAACAAAUUAUAUGCAUCUUUCUACAACGGAUAUCUCGGGACUCUCAUCUCUAAAAAAACACCAC
rnacentral:misc_RNA from 1 species